GUCUAAUCCCUUUAUUUUACAGAAAGAAACAGAGACUCAAAGCAAAGUAAUUCAUAAGUGGUGAAGCUGGGGCUAAAUCCAAGUCUCCUGCCACUGCGCACUUCAGGGUUAGAGCAGUGCUAGGAGUCCCACCAGGGCCUGGGUGAGAGAUUCAUUCUUAAAACUGGGCGUGAAGUCUCAGUCACUGAGAAUGCUUGGUGCCAGCUCCCAUCUCUAAGGACUGCUUUGAGGGAAGGAGUUGAAUCCGGCCCCUUCCCCAAACCAGGGUAAUGUAUCAUAGAGCAGAGAGCAUACAUAAUCUUGGGAAGAGGGAUAGAAGUGACAAAGAUGGGCCAGGCGCAGUGGCUCACGCCUGUAAUCCCAACACUUUGAGAGGUCGAGAUAUGCAGAUCGCUUGAGCCCAGGAGUUCGAGACCAGCCUGGGCAACAUGGUAAAACCCCGUCUCCACAAAAAAUAAAAGAUAAAAAUUAGCUAGGCAUGAUGGCACAUGUAGGUAGUCCCAACUACUCAGGGGCUGAGGCAGGAGGAUCCCUUGAGCCCGGGAGGUUGAGGCUGUAGAAAGCCAAGAUCAUAUCACUGCACUCUAUUCUGGGUGACAGAGCAAGACCCUGUCUCAAAAAAAAAAAGGAAGUGACAAAGAUACAACCACUUAGCUAGGUGUGCCUGUGGUCCCAGCUACUCAGGAGGCUGAAGUGAGAGGGUCUCUUCAGCCUGGGAAUUCAAGGCUGCACUGAGGCAUGAUCGUGCCGCUGCACUCCAGCCUGGGCAACAGAACCAGACUCUGUCUCAAAAAAAGAAAAAAAAAGAUGGAAUGACUAACUCUUCUUGGACACUAAAGUUGAGCAGAAGGAACCCCUGGGCAGGAGGGGAAGUGUCACCAAGGGUCCUUCUUCCCAGGCCGCAAUAGCCUGGCUUGGAAAGUCAGGCCCUUUGCUUUGUAGCAGGAGGAAGGUGAUUCUUGGGACCCAAAACAUGCCAGAGAACCUGGCGCCGAGUGUCCCAAGGAGGCUUCGCUUUUGGAACAGGCUUGGUCCUGUCCAGGUAGGCACUUCCUCAUGAGUAACCCCUUCCAGCUCUCACAGUGGAGCCACCUUGGAAUUGUGAGGAGACUGCUGGGAGGAAGGGGCGGCCACCUUCCCCAGCCAGCAGAGAAGGGUCUGACUGCAACACAGAUGGCUUCAUCGUCACAUUGAAAAUAACCAAAUAUGAAAAUGUGUUUUAUUUCUCAGUACAAAGCCAGAUACUGUAAGGCUAUGAAAAACUGACUAGCCAGAGGCCAGAAAGGACAAAAAGAAGACUAUCUCUGGCCUGGUGCCCUGUGAUCUGGCGUGGUGUCACAGGAGGUCUGGGGACAGCAGCAAAGACCUGGACCGGUGGAGGUGAGGCUGUAGUGACAGGGGUGGGAGGUGAGGCCGUAGUGACAG
rnacentral:lncRNA from 10 species